rnacentral:lncRNA from 1 species
GCUCUUAAUAGUUUCAACUCUAAUAUAAUCAGCCUUAAGAAAAAAAUGGAAUGGAGCUAUAAUUUUAGAUUAGAAUGGAGGACAAACUUUCAAAUUCUAGUACAUAAUCAACUGCUUAUUUUAUUUUAUGUUAAACAAUAUCCAGGCUACCAGAUAACUUUAAUUUUUUUAAAGAUAAUCAUAUGAGGUUUUUAGUGUGUUUGGAUUAACAGAAGUCA